rnacentral:rRNA from 1 species
UACGUAGGGUCCGAGCGUUGUCCGGAAUUAUUGGGCGUAAAGAGCUCGUAGGCGGUGUGUCACGUCGGCCGUGAAAACCUGCAGCUUAACUGUGGGCGUGCGGUCGAUACGGGCAUCACUGGAGUUCGGCAGGGGAGACUGGAAUUCCUGGUGUAGCGGUGGAAUGCGCAGAUAUCAGGAGGAACACCGGUGGCGAAGGCGGGUCUCUGGGCAGUAACUGACGCUGAGGAGCGAAAGCGUGGGGAGCGAACAGG